AGAGUUUGAUCAUGGCUCAGGAUGAACGCUAGCUACAGGCUUAACACAUGCAAGUCGAGGGGAAACGACAUCGAAAGCUUGCUUUUUGAUGGGCGUCGACCGGCGCACGGGUGAGUAACGCGUAUCCAACCUGCCCAUCACUUGGGGAUAACCUUGCGAAAGUAAGACUAAUACCCAAUGAUAUCUCUAGAAGGCAUCUGAAAGAGAUUAAAGAUUUAUCGGUGAUGGAUGGGGAUGCGUCUGAUUAGCUUGUUGGCGGGGUAACGGCCCACCAAAGCAACGAUCAAGUAGGGGUUCUGAGAGGAAGGUCCCCCACAUUGGAACUGAGACAGGUCCAAACUCCUACGGGAGCA
rnacentral:rRNA from 1 species